GACGAACCGUCCAAGCGUUAUUCGGAAUUACUGGGCUUAAAGGGUGCGUAGGCGGCGCGGUAAGUUGGGUGUGAAAUCCCUCGGCUCAACCGAGGAACUGCGCUCAAUACUACCGUGCUCGAGGGAGAUAGAGGUGAGCGGAACUUAGGGUGGAGCGGUGAAAUGCGUUGAUAUCCGAAGGAACACCGGUGGCGAAAGCGGCUCACUGGAUCUCUUCUGACGCUGAGGCACGAAAGCUAGGGUAGCGAACGGG
rnacentral:rRNA from 1 species